GCCGAAAUAGCUCAGUUGGGAGAGCGUCAGACUGAAGAUCUGAAGAUCCCUGGUUCAAUCCGGAGAGUUUGUA
rfam:Nematostella vectensis strain CH2 x CH6 NEMVEscaffold_224_Cont19623, whole genome shotgun sequence.